UACGGGGGGGGCAAGCGUUGUUCGGAAUUACUGGGCGUAAAGGCUCGUAGGCGGCCAACUAAGUCAUACGUGAAAUCCCUCGGCUUAACCGGGGAACUGCGUCUGAUACUGGAUGGCUUGAGUUCGGGAGAGGGAUGCGGAAUUCCAGGUGUAGCGGUGAAAUGCGUAGAUAUCUGGAGGAACACCGGUGGCGAAGGCGGCAUCCUGGACCGACACUGACGCUGAGGAGCGAAAGCCAGGGGAGCAAACGGG
rnacentral:rRNA from 1 species